rnacentral:rRNA from 1 species
GCUCGCGAGAGUAAGCUAAUCUCUUAAAGCCGUCUCAGUUCGGACUGUAGGCUGCAACUCGCCUACACGAAGUCGGAAUCGCUAGUAAUCGCGGAUCAGCAUGCCGCGGUGAAUACGUUCCCGGGCCUUGUACACACCGCCCGUCACACCAUGGGAGUUUGUAACGCCCAAAGUCGGUGGCCUAACCUUUAUGGAGGGAGCCGCCUAAGGCGGGACAGAUGACUGGAGUGAAGUCGUAACAAGGUAGC